rnacentral:rRNA from 1 species
GUCCAGACUCCUACGGGAGGCAGCAGUGAGGAAUAUUGGUCAAUGGGCGCGAGCCUGAACCAGCCAAGUCGCGUGAGGGAAGACGGUCCUAUGGAUUGUAAACCUCUUUUGUCGGGGAGCAAAAGACGCCACGUGUGGCGUUCCGAGAGUACCCGAAGAAAAAGCAUCAGCUAACUCCGUGCCAGCAGCCGCGGUAAUACGGAGGAUGCGAGCGUUAUCCGGAUUUAUUGGGUUUAAAGGGUGCGCAGGCGGUCUGAUAGGACGGGGGUAACAGCGCGGGGCCCAACCCCGGCCCGCCGUUGAAACUGGCAGUCUCGAGUUGGAGAGAAGUAUGCGGAAUGCGCGGUGUAGCGGUGAAAUGCAUAGAUAUCGCGCAGAACUCCGAUUGCGAAGGCAGCAUGCCGGCUCCACACUGACGCUGAGGCACGAAAGCGUGGGUAUCGAACAGGAUUAGAUACCCUUGUA